GAGGAGUGCUCUCAGCCUUAGAGAGGCAGGUUGAGGAGUGCUCUCAGCCUUAGAGAGGCAGGUUGAGGAGUGCUCUCAGCCCUAGAGAGGCAGGUUGAGGAGUGCUCUCAGCCCUAGAGAGGCAGGUUGAGGAGUGAUAGAUAUACACCAAGGUUGAGAAACCUUCUGGAGGAAUCUAUCUGGUGGAUACCUGCUCCUCCCACUGAUGAACAGUGUCCAUCAGACCAGACACAGUGGGGAGCUCUGCUUCACUGAUUCCUCUGAGAACACAGACAGAGAAAACAGUUUUAAUUCCCCCUAUCCACAGCUGUGUUGGCGGUCUCCCCCUUGGG
ensembl:lncRNA